AACUGCGAUUUUUCAAAAAAUACGUCAAGUGAAUGGCAACCCGUCAGUGGCAGCCCCGGGUAAAUCCUACAUAAAUAUAUCUAUUUAAUCACAUUGUUACAUUUACGGUGUAACGGCGCAUUCUGCAAAGCCUCAAUGGAGGUAAUGAAAUGAGCAAACAUCCUGCCAAAAGUGGGCACGUAAUGAGAUACUCCGUCUAAUACGUAAGAUCAGGAGGUGAAUGAGGUAACAAUGUAAACAGCUUUGAGUACCCGAGGUAGAAAAGUGAGAUAUAAAUCACAGUCCAAUUUCCAUUCGCACAAAAAGAAAGCGUUUUUGCGAGACAUCGCCAACAUUUCUCCAUUAAUCAAAUCAAGACAUGUAAAAAAAAAAUAAAACUAGAGCCUUCACUGUUCGCUUUGUACAUGUUCAGACGAACACAACAAGAAGUUGUUUAAAGCAUUGAAUGUGUGAUUACAUUUAUUUUGUUGGUCUGUGCAAGUUGAACCCUCUCGAGUCUUUGGACUGGUCCUUCUUUUAUUGCCAAUGUAUCGCAGUGGGACACGGUGAUGGAUGAGCAAGUGAGAACUUUCAUUUCCAAUGAUAACCACUUGUUAUUAAUGUUUACCCUCACACACAUAUGAGGAGUGUGAACAUACUGUAAGGGUUUUUCAUAUUCACUGCAGCUAUUUGCCUGAAUGGACUCCUUACGUUGCAGGGUGAUUGAUAGCCCACACAAGGCCAGAGAUCAACGGAUCAGCAAAUGGAAGACAUCCUGCUGGGAUGCGAUGGCUGUGCUGUGUAUAUGGAUAUUUGUUUGUGACUGGCAUCUUCAAAUGGCUUUCGUCUCCUCCGAGACGUUAAUGGCCGUCAUACAUCACAACGUUUGCGCGUCCCGCCGCGACUGUGGCAAGCGAUGCCCGCACAAGUUAAUGAUCGGCAUUCGCAAAGGGAAUGAAGAUAUAUGUAUUCCUUCUGAGCAAUUCUUGACACUGACAGAACUUCUGGUGGGGAGAAAAAUAAAAAUAAAA